GCCUUUGUAGCGUAACGGUAGUGCACUCGGCAAGUAUUCGAGAGGUCCAGGUUCGAGUCUUGACGAGGGCA
rfam:Stegodyphus mimosarum contig173885, whole genome shotgun sequence.